rnacentral:rRNA from 1 species
UACGGAGGGGGCUAGCGUUGUUCGGAAUUACUGGGCGUAAAGCGCACGUAGGCGGCUUUGUAAGUUAGAGGUGAAAGCCCGGGGCUCAACUCCGGAAUUGCCUUUAAGACUGCAUCGCUCGAAUUGUGGAGAGGUAAGUGGAAUUCCGAGUGUAGAGGUGAAAUUCGUAGAUAUUCGGAAGAACACUAGUGGCGAAGGCGACUUACUGGACACAUAUUGACGCUGAGGUGCGAAAGCGUGGGGAGCAAACAGG